GUACACCCCAGUGUGAUAUAUAGGUACUGAAGAUUAGUGUUGUUAUAUAUAUUUUUGACAUUAAGGUUUGUAAUCACAUAAAUGAAUAUCGAUUAGACUAACUCGUCGUAACUGUGAGUAUAUGAUUACACAAGAGUUCACCCUGAAGUGAUCAUAAAAUGUGUCGUUAAGUCUUUUGGUGCAAUUCUUUUAUGUUAUUAUUAUUAUAAAUUAUUUACUCACUCUGAAAUUACAGUAAAUUUUCUUAUCUGAAUGGUAUAUGUCGUGUUUAAAGAUUUAGUAUAUUUUUGAAAAUCGAUUAUUGUUUAUUGUUUUUUUUUUUUUUUUUGCUUUGGAGUGACUUGUAUGUUUCAUCGAAGAAUAGACAACAAUAAACAAUUUGAAUGGUAAUGUAUGAAAUCAAACAUUGUCGUACAUUGUAACGUGAUUUUUUGAUCCGUACAGACUUAUUUGCUAUCAUAUUUGGUAACUUUUUUUUUCAGUUUAACCAAUAGCAAUCAAUGGUCUGUUAUAACAAAACGUUGCCACUUCUGCAAUCGUUUAUUGAACGUAAAAAGUCGAAUAUUUAAACACAUUUACAAUAAUUAUUCAAACAGUGUGCUCGUUGUACAGGAUGUGGGCCAAUCUCUCAUUAAAUCCCCGUACAUAAUGUUAUGGUUAACUAAAAAUUUAAUAGUCACCCCACGUCAAUGUCAUGGUAUUCGCGACCCGAUUCACGGAAUCCACGGGUCUGAAAUCCUUAUCCAGUAGCCGGGAGCCGGCUGGUUUAACCCUCGGAUUCCUUGUUCCUCUAAUCUUGUUCGUUGCGACGCUGUAUGUAAUCCGCCGUAGAGUAAAAAGACUGUGAGUCAAAUCAGCUGAGAGUUGAUACCUGUCGCUUUCGGAGUUCUGGGAUGGAAUGGCCGUUGGAAAACAAAACAAGUCCUGGACGUCACGUUAUAACAUCAAAGAUAUCCAAGUUGUAUUUAUUUUGAGUUGAAACUCAGUAAUUUAUGAAACACAGUCAUUUUUAUAGUUAUUUAGUCAUGUCAUUGUUAAAAAUUUAAACAAAAUCUGAAUUUGUU